ACUGGGAGGGGGGCGGCUCAGUCACCCGUCGCUCCGUCGUGGUUCUCCUUAGCCCGGGCCUUCCCAGGGCGCCUCGGGGGCCACCCCAAGCAACGCGCGCUCUCGCAGCCCCGCCCCACCCACUUGAGGCGGUGGCAAUCGCCAGUCAGCUCACUUCUCCUCCCCUCUUCGACCUCUUCUCUUUCACCCUCCUCGCCCUCAGCCGCCCCGAGCACUGCGCCAACCUGGAGCCCGAGGAUCUACGGUGGCCGGGCGAGCUGGAGGAGGAGGAAGUGGAGGUCGCGUCGCUGGCAACCGAGAGGGUGGAGGAGGCGACCUCGGAGUCGACCAUGAAGGUGGAAGAGGAAGAGGCGGGGCCUGAUGUGGACUCGGAUUUUAACUUCGCGUUCCAGCCGCGGGAGAGCGCGGACGAGGAGGAGGAAUACGAGAUGGCCAAGGCCUGGCUGGCGGCGCAACCAGGCUAGGUUUUUCCGCCGCCGCUGACCCCGAGGCACUUAUACGCUCCGGCGGAAUGGACGCCUGCGGAGCAGAGAGCAGAGAGGGACUCUUCCCAAUCUUUGGAUACAUCUCAAACCAGGAUUAACGUGAGAACAGAAGGAAUGGAAGUGAUAGAUUUUCCUUCCCUGGAGGAAGGUGAAUUGACCCAAUCGGAAGGUCCAGUACAGGAACCAAAGCUAGAUCUAUUGUGUUCACCAUUGCUAGUCGUACAGGAUAACUUUGCUACACCAGAUUUGCCUUUGCUGACAUGUUUGACACAAGACCAGGAGUUUGAGCCUGAUUCCUUAUUUCAACAACGUGAACUAGAAUUUGCACCUUUGAGGUAGGAUUAUUUAUUUGCCGUCUAACCUUUCUACUCUUACUGUAAAUUGUUAUUAGCGUAAAUGGCUUCAGGCUAACAUGAAAUUUGGGAGUAGGAGUUCCAUAUUCUUAGCAAAUAGCACACAUAUGUAACAAGGCCCUAAAUGAAGCAUAUUA